UUGACCUCCCUGUAACAAGAGUUUGGUCUCCGAGGCCCUUUGGGUCUCUUGGCAUUGUGCUGUCUUCAUAGCCUGAGGUGCAUGACCGCCCUGUAAUCAGGGAAUUGGGUCUUGGCUCUCUAGUCUCUUGUCACUAGGCCAAGUAAGCCAGCUGGUCUGAAUGAGCACCCUGUAAACAGGGUACAGGUUUCAUCAGACUCUAUUUGUGGUGCCCCCAUGAAACUGUGUCCAGAGUCCUGGCCCUUCACACUGUACUUCCAACUUGCCUGGAAUUCUGCAUCCAAGUUUUUUUGCUUUUUGCCCUGCUUACUGUGCUCUUGGCCACCCGUCAUCCUGCUGCUGUUACUGAAUUUCAAAUGGCAUUGCAAGUCUGUUAUAACUGUCUUGCAUAUUCUUUAUAUCCUCUUAAGAGAAUGGGACAAAACAGAAGCACCCAACCUAAAAACAAGAAAAGAGAUGCUAACCACCUCUGAAGAAGAAGAAAGGAAACAAAUUCUGAGAGCAAAGUAUAGUUGUGUGAUCUAUUUCAAAGGUUUAUACCAUGUCCAGCACCAUAGUAUAUAAAUGCAUUGGAAGGAUAAAUUGAACAACGUGACUAGUAUCUGUCACCUUUCAAAUGCUGAUUAACAUUAAUAGGCAAUAUAUAACGACUCCUGAAGCUCAAUUACUUGUGGCAUCACAACACUGGAAAGUGGAGAACAGUUCCCUUCUGCAAUCUGUCAAUUCAGUAACUACCUGUGCCACAUGAGAACUGAUAUGUCAUCUUAUUUUAUAAAGAUGUAUGUCCUCUCAAACUGUCUUUUCUAAUGAGUCCAUAAAGCAUGCAUCAUACUUUCAUAUUCUGGUAGAAAAGCAGGAUGUAUCUUUUUCAUUUAAUUCAUGAAACUUAAUCUUUACCAGGCUUUCAUGGGUCAUUUUCAUGUCAUUGCUUGAUGAUUUGGGCUUCUGUUUAGCAAGCAGUCAGACUUACUUUCAUAAAGUCUCUGUUGGCUACAGUGGAAAAGUUAUUUGACAAUGGCAGAAGAAAACUGAGAUGUUGGGUGUGGGUGAAAAGAAAAGGAGGACUUGUGGCACCUUAGAGACUAACCAAUUUAUUUGAGCAUAAGCUUUCGUGAGCUACAGCUCACUGUUGGCCACCCUGAAGAGUGUUGGAAGACCUUUUCCAGGAGGCACACUAUUAAUAUUUCUCCCAGCUCAUAAGAAAGCCUAUUUUUGAUACCAAAAUAGUACCAUAGCUAUGAUGCCAUUUGGAAUUUAAGUUUCUACCUAUCACCAAUUAGAAAUUGUCAGUAGAACUGGUUAUUUGCAUCUAAAUGUGAUUUCAUGUACCUAUGUAACCAAGUAUUUAAAAUGUGUUUUACCAGGUGACUACCUGAUUUUAUGUAAAAUAGUUGUACACAUCUUAGCAGAUGUGUUCCUUUGACUUAAGUGUGUGACUUUUAUAUAGUUGGGAGACUAAUGCUAUGUGUACUUAUUGUUUUUACUAACAGGUUUGUCACUAGGCACAAAGGAAUAAUUGUGAAUCUGUAAUGCAGAGACCUUAAUCACGCAAGCACUAUAAGAUCAUAGCUUACUUUUAUUAUUAAAAAUAAAUCAUAAUUUCCUACUGGAAGUGCAAAGAUGUAACUGAAGGGAAGGCAUGUGUUUGUAUUCUCCACUCAUCCCCAAUUCACCCCCACAAAAAUUCAAAAAUAGUUAAGAUAGAAAGAUUAACAUUUACUCCAGGUAACACCUACUUUAAUAUUCUAAAGCUCUGUAUCUCUCACACAUUGGUAAAAACUAGCAAACAAAAUUAAAUGUUCUGGAAACCGGCAAUUACUCCCCCAACUUCACAACUUUCAAACACCUACUCUACUUCAACGGUCAGACCAACCAAACUGUACCACACAUUCAAUUUUAACUUUGCACCUAUUGUGUCAGAACAGUUAGAGUAUUUUUUGGUAGUUGUGUAUAUUGAUGUACGUGGUAAUAGGGGUGUUUUAAUGGGUUUUUAUGCUUACUGAAUUAAGAGGCUGUUCGAGGAUGAUGAUGUGGAUGUUUUAUGUAGGUAUUUUUCUGUUCAGUUAGUAUUUGUGUAGAGGUGCAGUAUUUUGUGGUGAUGACUGUUUUUCAGGUUUUGGUUUAGUGUGAAUUGUUGAAAAAUUUAGAUGAUUUUUGCAUAUGUACAUUAUUAGAUGUACUUAGAGGGCAAAGUUGAGGUUGCCUGUUUGGUGCAAUUUUAUUGGUGUGAAAGUUAAUUUAGAGUAUGUGUUUGAAAGCCCUGAGGUUUGAAUUUUAAGCUCAUCAGGGAUCCAGGACCCACCUUGGUUCUUACUGUCAUUCCUAAUUCCAAAAUCUGUGAUGAAGAUGAUGCGGCAGAAUAAAGAUAUCUCCAGAGACUUUCAAGAGUUUAGCAUUUCUGCAGCUUUACGGGAUUCCUUAAACCUUAUUGAGCUUUUUAAAGUGUAAUAAUUGUGGGAAACUUCUACUUCUGACAGUUAAGUGUUGAACAAUGACCUGUAUUAAGAGAUUUAUACUGGUAGUUAAUUCUGUUCUGUACUGAGAUGAUUUUGCUAAUAUCACCACUUUAUGAUGUGUGAAAUGAACUAACCAGGUUUGAUUAUACCUACUUUAUAAAAAUUUGAAUACUUCAUGUUAAAUUCAUAGAUUUAACUUUGACUGUCAUAUCACCUUACUUUGCUUUCUGUAACUCUUAUUUAAUUUAUUAAUAUUUAUGUAAUUCAAUUAAUAAAACGUAAACAUUC